GCACAGGGCGGAUGCCUUGGCACUAAGAGCCGAAGAAAGACGUGAUAAGCUGCGAUAAGCUUCGGGGAGGAGCAAAUAUCCCGUGAUCCGGAGAUGUCUGAAUGGGGAAACCCACAUGAGCAAGCCUCAUGUAUCCAUACGCCAAUCCAUAACGUAUGGAAGGGAACCCGGGGAACUGAAACAUCUAAGUACCCGGAGGAAAAGAAAGAAAACUCGAUUCCGUAAGUAGCGGCGCGCGAACGCGGAAGAGCCUAAACCGGAAUGCGUGCAUUCCGGGGUUACGGACUGCAUGAAUGAUUCUCAGAAGCUAACAGAACGGUUUUGGGAAAGCCGGCCGAAGAGGGUGAAAGCCCCGUAUGUGAAAGCAGAUGAGACUGAGCAGGAUCCAGAGUACCACGAGACACGAGAAACCUUGUGGGAAGUCAGGGGGACCACCCCCUAAGGCUAAAUACUACUUAGUGACCGAUAGCGCAUAGUACUGUGAAGGAAAGGUGAAAAGGACCCCGGGAGGGGAGUGAAAGAGAACCUGAAACCCUGUGUCUACAAGCUGUGGGAGCACCUUAUGCGUGCAACCGCGUACUUUUUGUAGAACGGUCCGGCGAGUUACGCUUACUGGCAAGGUUAAGUCCUUAAGGGACGGAGCCGUAGGGAAACCAAGUCUUAACAGGGCCUUAAGUCAGUAGGAGUAGACCCGAAACCGGGUGAUCUACCCAUGUCCAGGAUGAAGCUGCCGUAAGAGGCAGUGGAGGUCCGGACCCACAUCCGUUGAAAAGGGUGGGGAUGAGGUGUGGGUAGGGGAGAAAUUCCAAUCGAACCCGGAGAUAGCUGGUUCUCCUCGAAAUAGCUUUAGGGCUAGCCUCGGUCAUGAGUCUUGUGGAGGUAGAGCACUGAAUUUCCUAGGGGGCGUCAAAGCCUACCGAAGAAUAUCAAACUCCGAAUGCCAUGUAGACAGGACCGGGAGUCAGACUGCACGAGAUAAGUUGGGCAGUCAAAAGGGAAAGAGCCCAGACCUUCAGUUAAGGUCCCAAAGUGUACGUUAAGUGGAAAAGGAUGUGGGGUCUCGAAGACAACCAGGAUGUUGGCUCAGAAGCAGCCAUUCAUUCAAAGAGUGCGUAAUAGCUCACUGGUCGAGAGGCCCUGCGCCGAAAAUGUCCGGGGCUGAAACGUACCACCGAAACUAAGGGAUCCGCAAGGAUCGGUAGAGGAGCAUUGCAUGCGGAAGGAAGCAGUACCGGAAGGAGCUGUGGACUGCAUGGAAGAGAGAAUGCCGGAAUGAGUAGCGAGAUAAAGGUGAGAAUCCUUUAGGCCGAAUAUCCAAGGUUUCCAGGGUAAAGCUGAUCUGCCCUGGGUAAGUCGGGGCCUAAGGCGAGGACGAGAGUCGUAGCCGAUGGACAACAGGUGGAGAUUCCUGUACUGCGGUAUGACAGAACUGUGGGGACACGUAAGGAAAGCGGAAGCCGGGAAUGGAAAGCCCGGUGCAAGCAGGGUACCAGACACUCAGGCAAAUCCGGGUGUCAAUGGGAAGCUGUGAUGCGGAGCGAAAUACAAGUAGCGAAGUCCGUGAGCCAUGCGUCAAGAAAAGCCGCUAUUGUUUAUACCGUACCCGUACCGUAAACCGACACAGGUGGAUGAGGAGAGAAUCCUAAGGCCGGCGGAAGAAGCAUUGUCAAGGAACUCGGCAAAAUGACCCCGUAACUUCGGGAGAAGGGGUGCCACUGAGAAGUGGCCGCAGAGAAUAGGCUCAAGCAACUGUUUAGCAAAAACACAGGUCUAUGCGAAACCGAAAGGUGAGGUAUAUGGGCUGACGCCUGCCCGGUGCUGGAAGGUUAAGAGGAGAGGUUAGCGCAAGCGAAGCUUUGAAUUUAAGCCCCAGUAAACGGCGGCCGUAACUAUAACGGUCCUAAGGUAGCGAAAUUCCUUGUCGGGUAAGUUCCGACCCGCACGAAAGGCGUAAUGAUUUGAGCGCUGUCUCGACAAUGCAUCCGGUGAAAUUGAAGUACCAGUGAAGAUGCUGGUUACCUGC
rnacentral:rRNA from 1 species